rnacentral:lncRNA from 1 species
CCACUCGUCUCUCCUUUUUGGCGUUUCUUCUUCUUCUUCUUCUUCUCGUUUUGGAGAUCGAUCGAUCCAAGAGGGCGAAUUUGGCUUUGAAAGUUGAAUCAGUUUUAUUUUUGUGAUAAUUUAGUUUUCGGUUUGGAGAUUGAUUUGGAUUGUUUAGAUUUAAGUUUCUCUGAUCAUCGGAUUUCUAAGAGGAUAUAUGAUUCAUUCUUUGAAUCGUUUUAUAUCUUAUGUUUUGAUGUUUUCAUUUGUCGUGGUUUUCUUUUCGUCUUGUUUAAUCAUAUGAAUCCAAUGUAGAAUAUUUUAGCUUGAUUAUAAUUACAUAGAUUGUUUUUUUAUCAAAUUAGAGAUUCAUGCAUUGCUUCAUCUAUGUCUGUUUUUCUCAUUUCAUCACUGAUUUUAGAAAGGGUUUGAUAUGGUUGAUCUAGAACAAUACUUCUAUAUGGAUUAGACACAUAUUUUGGUUAGGAGUUUUUUAGGCCUUAUUUCAUUCUACAGAAGGUUUAUCAGAGAUUUCAGUACCAUAGCAAAUAUUAUUUCAAAUUGUCUGAAAAAAUGAUCAUUUGUUUGUUGGAUUUCAAGAGCUGAUUUAUUUCUGUUUGAAGAUCUAUAUCUUCUUCUGAGUUUUGAUAAUAUUAUUCUCAAAGACUGCAUCACUUCCACCCUUCGCUACUUGUCUCUCCUUUUUGAUGGUUUCUCGACGAUCAUGGUUUUUUUUUGGCGAUUGGUCUAUUCAUGCACUGCUUCAUCUAUGUCUGUUUUUCUCAUUUCAUCGUUGAUUUUUAAAAGGGUUUGAUAUGGUUGAUAUGGAACAACAUUUCAUAUGGAUUAUAUACAGAUUUUUGAUUGGUGUCUAAAUCAGAUAUUAUUAGUUUAUUACAGAGUUUUCUCAUUAACACACUAGUUUAUCUUAUGUUGGCAAGUGAUAUUUCAAUCUGCAAAUUUUGAAAAAUCAAACAAGUUGGAUUGGAGAUUGAUGGUUUUCAUUAGUUCUGUAUAGUUUUGACAAAAUUUGUGGUUUUGCAUUACUUUUUUGUAGAUACUGAUUUGAAUGUGAUUUAUUUUUAAAAGGUUUACUAAGCAUAAUCCUUUAUGGUUUAUCGAAAUGGAUUUGUAUUGCAUAUGUUUAAUCCUUUGGCAUUACACAACCUUCUAUAUAUUAUAUUAAAUAAACAACUUCUUUAUAUGAUCGAGUACAAAUUAAUAAAUUAUAUAUUCAGAUCGAUUUCAGUUACAGAGAUUAUAGAUACUUGUCAUUUUAGAGAUUGAUUUGGAUUGUUUAGAUUUAGGUUUCUCUGAUCGUUGGAUUUCUAAAAGGAUAUUUGAUUCAUUGAAUCAUUUUAUUUCUUAUGUUUUGAUGUUUUCAUCAAUCGUGUUUUUCUUUUCGGGUGCUUAAUCAUAUGGAUCCAAUGCAGAAUAUUCUAGCUUGAUUAUAGUUACAAAGAUUGAUUUUUUUUAUCAAAUUUGAGAUUCAUGCACUACUUCAUCUAUGUCUGUUUUUCCAAUUUCAUCGUUGAUUUUUGAAAGGUUUUGAUAUGGUUGAUCUAGAACAACAUUCUAUAUGGAUUACAUAUAGAUUUUGGAUUGGUCUAAAUAAGAAAUUCUUAGUUGAUUACAAAGUUUUCUCAUUAACAUACUAGUUUAAUUAUCUUAUUUCGGCAAGUGAUAUUUCAAUCUACAAAUUAUGAUAAAUCAAACAAGUUUGAUUGGAGAUUGAUGGCUUUAAUUAGUUCUGUAUAGUUUUUGCUAACUUUGUGGUAUUGUAUUAGUUUUUUGUAGAUACCGAUUUGAAUGUGAUUUGUUUUUAAAAGGUUUACUGAGCAUAAUCCUUUAUGGUUUAUCGAAAUGGAUUUGUAUUGCAUAUGUUUAAUCCUUUGGCAUUACACAACCUUCUAUAAUAUAUUAAAUAAACAAAUUCUUCAUAUGAUCGAGUACAAAUUAAUAAAUUAUAUAUUCAGAUCGAUUUCAGUUACAGAGAUUAUAGAUACUUGUCAUUUUAGAGAUUGAUUUGAAUUGUUUAUAUUUAGGUUUCUCUGAUCGUUGGAUUUCUAAAAUGAUAUUUGAUUCAUUGAAUCAUUUUAUUUCUUAUGUUUUGAUGUUUUCAUCAAUCGUGUUUUUCUUUUCGAGUGCUUAAUCAUAUGGAUCCAAUGCAGAAUAUUCUAGCUUGAUUAUAGUUACAAAGAUUGAUUUUUUUUUAUCAAAUUUGAGAUUCAUGCACUACUUCAUCUAUGUCUGUUUUUCCAAUUUCAUCGUUGAUUUUUGAAAGGUUUUGAUAUGGUUGAUCUAGAACAACAUUCUAUAUGGAUUACAUACAGAUUUUGGAUUGGUCUAAAUAAGAAAUUCUUAGUUGAUUACAAAGUUUUCUCAUUAACAUACUAGUUUAAUUAUCUUAUUUCGGCAAGUGAUAUUUCAAUCUGCAAAUUAUGAUAAAUCAAACAAGUUUGAUUGGAGAUUGAUGGCUUUAAUUAGUUCUGUAUAGUUUUUGCUAACUUUGUGGUAUUGUAUUAGUUUUUUGUAGAUACCGAUUUGAAUGUGAUUUGUUUUUAAAAGGUUUACUGAGCAUAAUCCUUUAUGGUUUAUCGAAAUGGAUUUGUAUUGCAUAUGUUUAAUCCUUUGGCAUUACACAACCUUCUAUAAUAUAUUAAAUAAACAAAUUCUUCAUAUGAUCGAGUACAAAUUAAUAAAUUAUAUAUUCAGAUCGAUUUCAGUUACAGAGAUUAUCGAUACUUGUCAUUUUAGAGAUUGAUUUGGAUUUAGAUUUAGGUUUCUCUGAUCGUUGGAUUUCUAAAAUGAUAUUUGAUUCAUUGAAUCAUUUUAUUUCUUAUGUUUUGAUGUUUUCGUCAAUCGUGUUUUUCUUUUCGGGUUGCUUAAUCAUAUGGAUCCAAUGCAGAAUAUUCUAGCUUGAUUAUAGUUAUAGAGAUUGAUUUUUUUAUCAAAUUUGAGAUUCAUGCACUACUUCAUCUAUGUCUGUUUUUCCAAUUUCAUCGUUGAUUUUUGAAAGGUUUUGAUAUGGUUGAUCUAGAACAACAUUCUAUAUGGAUUACAUACAGAUUCUGGAUUGGUCUAAAUAAGAAAUUCUUAGUUGAUUACAAAGUUUUCUCAUUAACAUACUAGUUUAAUUAUCUUAUUUCGGCAAGUAUUAUUUCAAUCUACAAAUUAUGAUAAAUCAAACAAGUUGGAUUGGAGAUUGAUGGCUUUAAUUAAUUCUGUAUAGUUUUUGCUAACUUUGUGGUAUUGUAUUAGAUUUUUGUAGAUACCGAUUUGAAUGUGAUUUGUUUUUAAAGGUUUACUGAGCAUAAUCCUUUAUGGUUUAUCGAAAUGGAUUUGUAUUGCAUAUCUUUAAUCCUUUGGCAUUACACAACCUUUAUAUUAUAUUAAAUAAACAACUUCUCUAUAUGAUCCAGUACAAAUUAAUAAAUUAUAUAUUCAGAUUGAUUUCAGUUACAUAGAUUAUGGAUACUAGUCAUUUUACAGAUUGAUUUGGAUUGUUUAGAUAUAGGUUUCUCUGAUCAUCGGAUUUCUAAGAGGAUAUCUGAUUCAUUUUUUGAAUCAUUUUAUGUAUUAUGUUUUGAUGUUUUCAUAUAUCGUGGUUUUCUUUUCGUCUUGCUUAAUCAUAUGGGUCCAAUGCAGAAUAUUCUAGCUUGAUUAUGGUUAAAGAGAUUGAUUUUUUUUUUAUCAAAUUAGAGAUUCAUGCACUGCUUCAUCUAUGUCUGUUUUUCCAAUUUCAUCGUUGAUUUUUGAAAGGUUUUGAUAUGGUUUCUCUAGAACAAUAUUCUAUAUGGAUUACAUACAGAUUUUGGAUUGGUCUAAAUAAGAAAUUCUUAGUUGAUUACAAAGUUUUCUCAUUAACACACUAGUUUAUCUUAUUUUGGCAAGUGAUAUUUCAAUCUGCAAAUUAUGAUAAAUCAAACAAGUUGGAAUGGAUUUUGACGACUUUUAUUAGUUCUGUAUAGUUUUGACUAUCUUUGUGGUAUUGUGUUACUUUUUUGUAGAUACUGAUUUGAAUGUGAUUUGUUUUUAAAAGGUUUACUGAGCAUAAUCCUUUAUGGUUUAUCGAAAUGGAUUUGUAUUGUCUAUGUGUAAUCCUUUGGCAUUAAACAACCUUCUAUAUUAUAUUAAUAAAACUAUUUCUCUAUAUGAUCCAGUACAAAUUAUAUAUUAAGAUCGAUUUCAGUUACAGAGAUUAUGGAUACUAGUCAUUUUAGAGAUUGAUUUGGAUUGUUUAUUAGAUGUAGGUUUCUCUGAUCAUCGGAUUUCUAAGAGGAUAUCUGAUUCUUAGUUAAUUACUGUGUUUUCUCGUUAACACACUAGUUUAUUUUAUUUUGGCAAGUGAUAUUUUAAUCUGCAAAUUAUGAUAAAUCAAACAAGUUGGAUUGGAUUUUGUCGACUUUCAUUAGUUCGUUGUAUAGUUUUGACUAUCUUUGUGGUAACUUUUUUGUAAAUACCGAUUUGAAUGUGAAUUUUUUUAAAACGUUUACUGAGCAUAAUCCUUUAUGGUUUAUCGAAAUGCAUUUGCAUUGCAUAUAUUUAAUCCUUUGGCAUUACACAACCUUUUAUAUUAUAUUAAAAAAACUACUUCUCUAGAGAUUGAUUUGGAUUGUUUAGAUAUCGGUUUCUCUGAUCAUCGGAUUUCUAAGAGGAUAUUUGAUUCAUUCUUUGGAUCAUUUUAUGUCUUAUGUUUUGAUGUUUUCAUCGAUCGUGGUUUUCUUUUCGUCUUGCUUAAUCAUAUGGAUUCAAUGCGGAAAAUUCUAGCUUGAUUAUAGUUACAGAAAUUGAUUUUUUUUAUCAAAUUAGAGAUUCAUGCACUGCUUCAUCUGUGUCUGUUUUUCUCAUUUCAUCCUUGAUUUUUUAAAGGGUUUGAUAUGGUUGAUCUAGUACAACAUUCCAUAUGGAUUACUUACAGAUUUUGGAUUGGUUUCUAAAUCAGAAAUUCUUUGUUGAUUACAGUGUUUUCUCGUUAACACACUAGUUUAUCUUAUUUUGGCAAGUGAUAUUUCAAUCUUUAAAUUAUGAUAAAUCAAACAAGUGGAUUGGAUUUUAAUUUGAUGACUUCAAUAGUUCUGUAUAGUUUUGACUAUCUUUGUGGUAUUGUAUUAAUUUUUUGUAGAUACCGAUUUGAAUGUGAUUUGUUUUUAAAGGUUUACUGAGCAUAAUCCUUUAUGGUUUAUCGAAAUUGAUUUGUAUUGCAUAUGUAUAAUCCUUUGGCAUUAAACAGCCUUCUAUAUUAUAUUAAUAAAACUAUUUCUCUAUAUGAUCCAGUACAAAUUAUAUAUUAAGAUCGAUUUCAGAUACGGAGAUUAUGGAUACUAGUCAUUUUAGAGAUUGAUUUGGAUUGUUUAUUAGAUGUAGGUUUCUCUGAUCAUCGGAUUUCUAAGAGGAUAUCUGAUUCUUAGUUAAUUACUGUGUUUUCUCGUUAACACACUAGUUUAUUUUAUUUUGGCAAUUGAUAUUUAAUUUUAAUCUGCAAAUUAUGAUAAAUCAAACAAGUUGGAUUGGAUUUUGUCGACUUUCAUUAGUUUGUUGUAUAGUUUUGACUAUCUUUUAGGUAACUUUUUUGUAGAUACCGAUUUGAAUGUGAUUUGUUUUUAAAAGGUUUACUGAGCAUAAUACUUUAUGGUUUAUCGAAUUUAUUGCCUAUGUUUAAUCCUUUUGCAUUACACAACCUUCUAUAUUAUAUUAAAAAAACUACUUCUCUAGAGAUUGAUUUGGAUUGUUUAGAUGUAGAUUUCUUUGAUCAUCGGAUUUAUAAGAGGAUAUCUAAUUCUUUCUUUGAAUAAUUUUAUGUCUUAUGCUUUGAUGUUUUCAUCUAUCGUGGUUUUCUUUUUGUCUUGCUUAAUCAAAUGGAUCCAAUGCAGAAUAUUCUAGCUUGAUUAUAGUCAUAGAGAUUGUUUUUUUUAUCAAAUUAGAGAUUCAUGUACUGUUUCAUCUAUGUCUGUUUUUCUCAUUUCAUUGAUGAUUUUAAAAGGAUUUGAUAUGGUUUAUCUAGAACAAUACUUCCUUAUGGAUUAGAUACAGAUUUUGGUUUGGUUUCUAAAUCAGAAAUUCUUAGUUGAUUUCUGUGUAUUCUCAUUAAUACAUUAGUUUAUCUUAUCUUGGCAAGUGAUAUUUCAAUAUGCAAAUUAUGAUAAAUCAAACAAGUUGGAUUGGAGAUUGAUGACUUUCAUUAGUUCUGUAUAGUUUUGACUAUCUUUGUGGUAUUGUAUUACUUUUUUAUAGAUACCGAUUUGAAUGUGAUUUGUUUUUAAAAGGUUUACUGAGCAUAAUCUUUUAUGAUUUAUCUAAAUGGAUUUGUAUAGUCUAUGUUUAAUUCUUUUGCAUUACACAUCAUUCAAUAUUAUAUUAAUUAAAUACUCUCUAUAUGGUCUAAUACAAAUUAUAUAUUUUAGAUCGAUUUCAGUUACAAAGAAUAUGGAUACUAUUCAUCUUAGAGAUUGAUUUGGAUUGUGUAGAUUUAAGUUUCUCUAAUCUUCAGAUUUUUAGGAGGGAAUAUGAUUCAUUCUUUGAAUCGUUUUAUAUCUUAUGUUUAUAUAUUUCAUCAAUCGUGGUUUUCUUUUCGUCUUGCUUAAUCAAAUGGAUCUAAUGCACAAUAUUCUAGCUUGAUUAUAGUUACAUAGAUUGUUUUUUUUAUCAAUUUAGAGAUUCAUGCACUGCUUCAUCUAUGUCUGUUUUUCUCAUUUCAUUGCUGAUUUUAAAAGGAUUUGAUAUGGUUUAUCUGAAACAAUACUUCCUUAUGGAUUAGAUAUAGAUUUUGGUUUGGUGUCUAAAUUAGAAAUUUUUAGUUGAUUAUAGAUUUUCUCUUUAACACACUAGUUUAUCUUAUUUUGGUAACUGAUAUUUUAAUCUGGAAAUUAUGAUAAAUUAAACAAGUUGGAUUGGAGAUUGAUGACUUUCAUUAGUUCUGUAUAGUUUUGACUAACUUUGUGGUCUUGUAUUACUUUUUUAUAGAUAACGAUUUGAAUGUGAUUUGUUUUUAAAAGGUUUAUUGAGCAUAAUCCUUUAUGGUUUAUCGAAAUGGAUUUGUAUUGCAUAUGUUUAAUCCUUUGGCAUUAGACAAUCUUCUAUAUUAUAUUAUAUUAUAUUAAAUUAACUACUUCUCUAUAUGGUCCAGUACAAAAUAUAUAUUCUAAAUCGAUUUUAGUUACAGAGAAUAUGGAUACUAGUCAUUUUAGAGAUUGAUUUGGAUUUCUAGAUCGAUUGUUUAGAUUUAGGUUUCUCUGAUCAUUGGAUUUCUAAGAGGAUAUAUGUUUCAUUCUUUGAAUCGUAUUAUGUCUUGUUUUUUGAUGUUUUCAUCUAUCGUGGUUAUGUUUUUGUUUUGCUUAAUCAUAUGGAUCCAAUGCAGAAUAUUCUAGCUUGAUUAUUGUUACAUAGAUUGGUUUUUUUUAUCAAAUUGGAGAUUCAUGCACUGAUUUAUAUAUGUCUGUUUUUCUCAUUUCAUCGCUAAUUUUAGAAAGGGUUUGAUAUGGUUGAUCUAGAACAACACUUCCAUAUGGAUUAGAUACAGAUUUUGGUUUGGUAUCUAAAUCAGAAAUUCUUAGUUGAUUACAGAAUUUUCUCAUUAACUCGAUCACUAGUUUAUUUUAUUUGGAGAAUGAUGUUGCCAUCCGCAGUGUUACUUUCUUUUAAGAUCUUAUGGUUUAUCAUACCUUUUGCACACUUAUAUUGUUUUUAUUUGGCUUUACUCUGCCGUUUACAAUCUGAUAGUACCAAGAAUCAUUCGAAAAAUUUCUUGUCACAGGAAUAAUCUUAGGUCUUGCAUGCAAAUGAUUUUCUGUAGACAUUAUUUGUUAUCUAAGAAGGGAGAUUUUUACAAACCUAUGGGGCUAUGACUUAAUCUAAGAAGGGGGAUUAUAAUUGAACUUCUACAUAGACGUUGAUAUUUAACAUUUACUAUGCUGGGAUUAGUUCAAUUGGCUAUGUUUUAUCUUGCCCGCUUUUUAUUGGUGAUAUAUAGUCUUAUCACCUAAGGGUUUUUUCCAUUCCACUUUGUUUGGUGGCAUGGAGUUUCCCUUGCAUUAAAAAAACAG